CAGUAGCGUAUAUUUAAGUUGUUGCGGUAAAAAGCUCGUAGUUGGAUUUCUGUUGAGGAAGGGCGGUCGGCACCAUGUGCAUGUAUCUGCUUCUGCCUCGGCAUCCUCUCGAAACACGUUUCUGCGCUUGACUGCGUGGGGCGGAGUUCGGGACUUUUACUUUGAGGAAAUUGGAGUGUUCACGGCAGGCAAUAGCCCGAACAUAUUAGCAUGGAAUAAUAAUAUAGGGCGUAAGUUCUAUCUUGUUGGUUUCUAGAACAUACGCAAUGAUUAAUAGGGACAAUUGGGGGCGAUUCGUAUUAACGCGUCAGAGGUGGAAUUCUUAGAUUGCGUUACGACGAACUACUGCGAAAGCAUUUGCCAAGGAUGUUUUCAUUGAUCAAGAACGAAAGUAUGGGGAUCGAAGACGAUUAGAUACCAU
rnacentral:rRNA from 1 species